UUUCUCAUCAGUCCAAAGAACUAAAUGAGCUUUUGCAUACAACUAGUGACCAUGUUUAUGGCGUGAGUGCAGAAAGGCUUCUUUCUCGUCACCCUGCAAAUUAUUAAUUAGCCUUACAGAACAAUUGUUUCACAGCUGGAAAAAGUCAGAUCUCAGAACAGAAUAUUUCAAAAAGUUUAAUAGUUUAAAUAAAAAAUGGAGACCAGUUAAAAAGUUGCUUAGAAUUGACAAUUGUAUCACAUACUAAAAUUUAAUUUAAAGGUAAACCACCCCUUUAAUGUUGCAUGAGUUUUGGUGGCCCUGAUGCCAGUUAUGAAUACAGGUGCUUGUGUUCUAGUGGGAACCUAUGCAAUAACACAUGCUAUAUGUGCACCCCUGCUUACUCAGCCCAUAAUCCAGCCAACUAUACACCGCUGGAUAAUAGAAUAAGUAGCAUUUUUACAUUUCCACAAAGAUAUUCCUAUGGGCUACGGCACACAAAGCUACAGGGGGAGAUAAGGGAUUCUUCACCGUUGGAUAACUUUUAGUAUGAUGUAGAGAGCAAUUUGCUUUUAUUUUUUAUUGUUGAAGCUUUUUGAGUUAUUUAGCUUUUUAUUCAUCAGCUCUUCAAUUUGCAUCUUAAAGGAGAAUUCAACCCUUAAAGGAGAACUAAACCCUAAAAAUGAAUAUGGCUAAAAACGCCAUAUUUUAUAUACUGAAUUCAUUGCACCAGCCUCAACCCAUUUCUCCAAACUUCUUCCUACUGAGGGUGGGAAAUGUAUGUUUGGUCCUGGGACUGACACAGCAUAUGUUUUGAAACACUGCCACACUCAGAUUUCCCCAAAUCAUGAGCUUACAUAUGUUUGUAGUGAACACUAGUAAAUCUUCAAUGAAAAGUAAAAUAUAGAUAAUUUUAGUAGACCCAUCAACACAUUUUCUAGGGACAGCAAUGUAUUGAUUUUACCUGGCUGAUUGUUUAAGGUGAAUAAACAGUGGGCCUGGGCUCAAACAGUGCCUUCUGUGCAACGGUGGCAGAGGUAUUAAAGGUAUUAGUAGUUGUACAAUCCUAAUAAUUAAAAUAAUAAUCGUAUAUCUUAAGUCUGCCUUGUAUGUGAAUGGCCACCUAAUCCUGCAGCUGGAAGCCCAAAAAACACUUCUUUAUGGCACAAAACAGAUUGCACUUGAUCUGCCCAAACUGAAAAAUGUAUUUACCAUAGUAUCAUUCAGACUUUUCUGCCUGAACAGAAUGUGACUGGUUUUUUUUAUGUGUAUGGCCACAUUUCACAAUCUCCACCCAUUACCUCUGGGGCAAAAUAAAAUGACUAUGAUUUGUUUUAUAACAGCUCUGGAUUAAGUCUAACUCAGCCAAGCACAAACAUGACUUCUUCUUUGUGCUUUUCAUGUUGUAACUGUCUGCAACAUUUGGAAGAUGACCUGGAAAAUGACAUCCGGAACAAUAUGAAAAGACUGGAUGACCUUCACUGCAGUGCCUGGUCAUCACACAGAGCCAGUGGUGAGAUAUGAAUGGCCUCUCAUUGGAAAAAUAGUCCUUGCAGUAAUUCUACUCUUGGGUGUAGCAGCCUUCAUACUCCUCUUCCAUGGUGUUUGUGGAAUCUCCUGAUGAGAAACAUACCGUCAUCUAUGUGCCUGGACUGGUUGAUUUACCUACAACCUAAAAUACUGAAAUAAUAGCAGAAGCGGUUAAGGCUGGGGAAAAGAUACCUCAAACCGAUGAAAAAGAAAAUAAUCCCAGUCCUGUGAAUAUUGAAGAGUCACAUGAGCAGAUUACUGAGCCGCGGGUCACUGAGCCAAAGGAGGGGCUUCAAGAAAAAGAUGUGGUUGACACCAAAAAAGAAAAGAAAAAGAAACAUCGACUUUUCUCUUUUUCAAAGAAAAAAGUUAAAGAAGCCGAUGAAAAGCAAAAGAAUGCAGAGAAAGAAAAAAAUCUUCUUUUUUAAACAGAAAAGUUAGAGGUCUAAAUGAUAUGGCACAUGGCAAUUUGUACUCCUUAUAUCUUUCCAAGUGUGUAAUAAUGUGGACAACAUGAAAUAAAAAAUAACAUU